rnacentral:pre_miRNA from 1 species
GUAUUACUCCCUCAGUCCGGAAAUAUUUGUCGUAGAAAUGGAUACAAAUGGAUGUAUCUAAAACUAAAAUACAUCUACAUACAUCCAUUCCUCAGACAAGUAUUUCCGAACGAAGGGAGUACUUG